AGUGGGAUAGCUGGGUUAAUGGUGGUUCCAUUCUAAGUUUUCUGAGGAAUCUUCAUACUGCUUACCACAGUGGUUGCACCAAUUUGCAGUCUCACCAGCAAU
rnacentral:pre_miRNA from 1 species